AUGAACGCUAGCGGGAGGCCUAACACCUGCAAGCCGAGCGGUAGAGUUUCUUCGGAAACUUGAGAGCGGCGCACGGGUGCGUAACACGUGUGCAACCUACCUUUAUCUGGGGGAUAGCCUUUCGAAAGGAAGAUUAAUACCCCAUAAUAUAAUGAUUGGCAUCAAUUAUUAUUGAAAACUCCGGUGGAUAGAGAUGGGCACGCGCAAGAUUAGAUAGUUGGUGAGGUAACGGCUCACCAAGUCAAUGAUCUUUAGGGGUCCUGAGAGGGAGAUCCCCCACACUGGUACUGAGACACGGACCAGACUCCUACGGGAGGCAGCAGUGAGGAAUAUUGGACAAUGGGUGAGAGCCUGAUCCAGCCAUCCCGCGUGAAGGAUGACGGUCCUAUGGAUUGUAAACUUCUUUUGUACAGGGAUAAACCUACCCUCGUGAGGGUAGCUGAAGGUACUGUACGAAUAAGCACCGGCUAACUCCGUG
rnacentral:rRNA from 1 species